rnacentral:misc_RNA from 1 species
UUGUUAUAAGUGAAUAUAAAUUAAUUAAUACGGUAAAAUAAAUUAUGAAUUACUGUUAUAAUAAACAAAUCAGAUAUAACUUCGGUUCCGCAACCGAUGCUUUAAAUGCGGUACAUAAACAAUGCCCAGCAUGCUCAGAAACUAACUCGAUGAAUUUAUUGACAUCGAUUGCUGUUCAUUUGCCCAAGCUAAGUGAGCUUGAUAAAUUGGAUAACCUUGAAAAGUCAGCACAAGAGUUACAUGAAAAAGUGGAUGAUAUUAUUUCUAAGCAGGCUGCAUUGGAUGCUAAAUUUAUCAGUUUGGAGAAAAGAGUGAGUGAGCUUGAAAAUAAGGGAUUUUCAGGUGGCUCAAAAAAGGAAGCUGAGAAGGUUUCAAGGGCAGCCGAUAUUUUGCUCAAUUGCAAUUUUGAACAACGGGCCUUACAAAUUGAGGCACAAGCUCUUGUGGAUGAGAUUUCAAUAUCUGGUUUAGAAGAAGUAGGGGAGGAAAAUCUCAAGGAAGUUGUAAAAAAUUUAUUUGACGUCCUUGACGUUCCUCGGGAUGAUCUCGGAGUCAAAUAUGUAAAAAGAAUUGGCAAAGUAGCUGAAUCUAGGACCAGGAAUGCUAGGCAAAAACGGAGGGAUGUGCUGAUAAAGUUUGACUGUAAAGAAGCUGUUGAUGUAAUGAUCAAGAAGUCCAGAGAUAUUGUUAUUAAAAAUAAUGAUUUGAUAGCCAAGGAAAAUAUCUCGCAGGACCCUGUGCGUCUUCAUCGCCGUCAUCCGCCUGGUUUAUAUAAAUUUCGGUUGCAGUUAUUAAAGGACUAUCCUAAGCUACUUGCAAAUAAUGUGUGGAUUGCCGCAGCCUCAGUGUUCGUCAGAAUAGAUUCCGAGAAACCGCCGCUAAAAUUAUUGCCGUCUAAUGGGAUAGAGGAGCUUAAAAAGCACAUUCGUUCACGUCAAUAACUUUCAUCCACUUCAUCAUCAUUAUCGCUUGCUCAGGAACGAGUGAGUCAAUCAACUACCUCUGCUCAAGUUCCUCUCAGUGUCUGUCACGUUACUAUUCGUUCAUUAAACUGCAACUUCAUUUUGUUUAGAGAAUUUUUUAGGACGCAUACUUUUGAUGUUAUUGCUGUUAGCGAAACAUGGUUAAACGCAAAUAUGUCAGAUGCUCAAUUUCAUAUUCCGUCAUUUACAUUGCACAGGAAUGAUCGGUAUCAAAGGAGUGGGGGAGGUGUUGUGUUGUACGUCAGAGACUCGCUUUCGUCGAAAUUUAUCAUCAGUUCUGACUAUAUUCCUGGUCACCCGGAAUAUUUGCUUAUUGAAAUCUGGCACUCGACGAGACAAAAAAUUUUAGUGGGAGUAGUAUAUAAUCCGCCUACUUCUUCAUCGUUAAAUCUAUUGGAGGCUGAUAUGGAUGACGUUAUGUCACAUUACAAUCACGUUAUUCUUCUUGGGGAUUUUAAUAUUAAUAUGCAAGUCGCUAACUCAAGAUCGGAUCUCCUACUAGAAUUCUAUGGAAGUCUCGGUAUGCAUCUGGUCAACUUCGAAGCUACUCAUCAUUCAGCUGAUAGUCACUCCUGGAUUGAUCACUGCUUGUGCGUGGGCGUAAAAAGAUCUGGUGCAGGAGUUGGAACCAUAUUGAUGACACCUGUCUGCGAAAUAUCUGCGACAACUUAGAUCUGUCACACGUUGAGCAUUCUGAGUCAGUUGACGAAAUGAAUAACUUGCUUCAUCAACACAUUCGUCAAGUGAUUGAAGCAGUAGCGCCUUUGAGAGAAGUUGAAGUUCGUGAUCAACCUGCACCCUGGGUGACUCAAGAAGUUAACCCUUGUGGAAAUAAUUUGCUGAAAAAUCUCUUAGAAAGUUUUCAAAACUCUGCAGAAGACAUUUUGAAAGUCUUGCCGUCCUUAA